rnacentral:rRNA from 1 species
UACGGAGGGGGCUAGCGUUGUUCGGAAUUACUGGGCGUAAAGCGCACGUAGGCGGCUUUGCAAGUCAGAGGUGAAAGCCCGGGGCUCAACCCCGGAAUUGCCUUUGAGACUGCAUCGCUAGAAUUGUGGAGAGGUAAGUGGAAUUCCGAGUGUAGAGGUGAAAUUCGUAGAUAUUGGGAAGAACACCGGUGGCGAAGGCGGCUCACUGGCUCGUAACUGACGCUCAUGCACGACAGCGUGGGGAUCAAACAGG